UGCUGGGGGAUUAGUGGCGAACGGGUGAGUAACACGUGAGUAACCUGCCCUUGACUCUGGGAUAAGCCUGGGAAACUGGGUCUAAUACCGGAUACGACCAUCUGGCGCAUGUCAUGGUGGUGGAAAGCUUUUGUGGUUUUGGAUGGACUCGCGGCCUAUCAGCUUGUUGGUGGGGUAAUGGCCUACCAAGGCGACGACGGGUAGCCGGCCUGAGAGGGUGACCGGCCACACUGGGACUGAGACACGGCCCAGACUCCUACGGGAGGCAGCAGUGGGGAAUAUUGCACAAUGGGCGCAAGCCUGAUGCAGCGACGCCGCGUGAGGGAUGACGGCCUUCGGGUUGUAAACCUCUUUCAGUAGGGAAGAAGCGAAAGUGACGGUACCUGCAGAAGAAGCGCCGGCUAACUACGUGCCAGCAGCCGCGGUAAUACGUAGGGCGCAAGCGUUAUCCGGAAUUAUUGGGCGUAAAGAGCUCGUAGGCGGUUUGUCGCGUCUGCUGUGAAAGACCGGGGCUCAACUCCGGUUCUGCAGUGGGUACGGGCAGACUAGAGUGCAGUAGGGGAGACUGGAAUUCCUGGUGUAGCGGUGAAAUGCGCAGAUAUCAGGAGGAACACCGAUGGCGAAGGCAGGUCUCUGGGCUGUAACUGACGCUGAGGAGCGAAAGCAUGGGGAGCGAACAGGAUUAGAUACCCUGGUAGUCCAUGCCGUAAACGUUGGGCACUAGGUGUGGGGGACAUUCCACGUUUUCCGCGCCGUAGCUAACGCAUUAAGUGCCCCGCCUGGG
rnacentral:rRNA from 1 species